CAAUCAUGUUUGUCCAUUGUGC
rnacentral:siRNA from 1 species